UACGUAGGGCGCAAGCGUUGUCCGGAAUUAUUGGGCGUAAAGAGCUCGUAGGCGGUUUGUCGCGUCUGCUGUGAAAACCUAAGGCUCAACCUUGGGCUUGCAGUGGGUACGGGCAGACUAGAGUGCGGUAGGGGUGACUGGAAUUCCUGGUGUAGCGGUGGAAUGCGCAGAUAUCAGGAGGAACACCGAUGGCGAAGGCGGGUCUCUGGGCCGAUACUGACACUGGAGGCACGAAAGCGUGGGGAGCAAACAGG
rnacentral:rRNA from 1 species